rnacentral:piRNA from 1 species
UGAAAUAAGAUACUAAGGUGCUUAAGAAU